rnacentral:rRNA from 1 species
UACGUAGGGUGCAAGCGUUAAUCGGAAUUACUGGGCGUAAAGCGUGCGCAGGCGGUUUUGUAAGACAGGCGUGAAAUCCCCGGGCUUAACCUGGGAAUGGCGCUUGUGACUGCAAAGCUGGAGUGCGGCAGAGGGGGAUGGAAUUCCGCGUGUAGCAGUGAAAUGCGUAGAUAUGCGGAGGAACACCGAUGGCGAAGGCAAUCCCCUGGGCCUGCACUGACGCUCAUGCACGAAAGCGUUGGGAGCAAACAGG